rnacentral:pre_miRNA from 1 species
UCUUACGGAUGAACAAAAGAAAGUGGUUUCUUGAGACGGAAACUACUCCUGGUGAAGAUGCUGGGAA